GCUAUUCACAAUUUGAAAAUAAAAUGUUAUACAAACUAGGUUUGUCGCAAGAUAAAGAAAGAAAAAAAGAGAAUGUAACAAAGUAAUGGGAUUGGAUUGUAUUUCAAUUAAAUGAAUUUCACUUGGAUGGAUGAAUACCUCAGAUUAAAAGAUGUAAUUUGUGGUUGAUUUAAAAAAAAAAAAAAAGGAAUACAAGGAAAAGAAUUUUGUGUAGUUUAGGUUCUGUAUACACUGGCAUGUUUCCACGAAAGGACGGGUUCUUGAAUAUUGAGACUUGAUUAAUCACAAUUCUUUAUUCCAAUCAUAUUUUCCCAGAAAACAAUGUUAUGACAUGUUUUACUGUAGAUAGUAACUAAGGUUAUGACAUGUUUUACUGUAGAUAGUAACUAAGGUUACGACAUGUUUUACUGUAGAUAAUCACUAAGGUUAUGACAUGUUUUACUGUAGAUGGUCACUAUGGUUGUGUAUUUAUGUGAUAUAACUGUAUAUAGGGCUUUUUACCUUCUAUAUGUAUAUAAUAAUUCAAAGUCGAAUUUUGUUAAACCUGUUUUAAUAAUCAAAUUAACCGUUAAAUCUCAUUUGAAUAGAACAAAUUGUGUCUUGUUAGGUUUCUGUUAGAAAUUUUAAAAAACAGGGC
rnacentral:lncRNA from 1 species